AAUGGGUCAGCGACUUAUAUUCUGUAGCAAGGUUAACCGAAUAGGGGAGCCGAAGGGAAACCGAGUCUUAACUGGGCGUUAAGUUGCAGGGUAUAGACCCGAAACCCGGUGAUCUAGCCAUGGGCAGGUUGAAGGUUGGGUAACACUAACUGGAGGACCGAACCGACUAAUGUUGAAAAAUUAGCGGAUGACUUGUGGCUGGGGGUGAAAGGCCAAUCAAACCGGGAGAUAGCUGGUUCUCCCCGAAAGCUAUUUAGGUAGCGCCUCGUGAAUUCAUCUCCGGGGGUAGAGCACUGUUUCGGCAAGGGGGUCAUCCCGACUUACCAACCCGAUGCAAACUGCGAAUACCGGAGAAUGUUAUCACGGGAGACACACGGCGGGUGCUAACGUCCGUCGUGAAGAGGGAAACAACCCAGACCGCCAGCUAAGGUCCCAAAGUCAUGGUUAAGUGGGAAACGAUGUGGGAAGGCCCAGACAGCCAGGAUGUUGGCUUAGAAGCAGCCAUCAUUUAAAGAAAGCGUAAUAGCUCACUGGUCGAGUCGGCCUGCGCGGAAGAUGUAACGGGGCUAAACCAUGCACCGAAGCUGCGGCAGCGACGCUUAUGCGUUGUUGGGUAGGGGAGCGUUCUGUAAGCCUGUGAAGGUGUGCUGUGAGGCAUGCUGGAGGUAUCAGAAGUGCGAAUGCUGACAUAAGUAACGAUAAAGCGGGUGAAAAGCCCGCUCGCCGGAAGACCAAGGGUUCCUGUCCAACGUUAAUCGGGGCAGGGUGAGUCGACCCCUAAGGCGAGGCCGAAAGGCGUAGUCGAUGGGAAACAGGUUAAUAUUCCUGUACUUGGUGUUACUGCGAAGGGGGGACGGAGAAGGCUAUGUUGGCCGGGCGACGGUUGUCCCGGUUUAAGCGUGUAGGCUGGUUUUCCAGGCAAAUCCGGAAAAUCAAGGCUGAGGCGUGAUGACGAGGCACUACGGUGCUGAAGCAACAAAUGCCCUGCUUCCAGGAAAAGCCUCUAAGCAUCAGGUAACAUCAAAUCGUACCCCAAACCGACACAGGUGGUCAGGUAGAGAAUACCAAGGCGCUUGAGAGAACUCGGGUGAAGGAACUAGGCAAAAUGGUGCCGUAACUUCGGGAGAAGG
rnacentral:rRNA from 2 species